rnacentral:rRNA from 1 species
GUGGGGAAUAUUGGACAAUGGGGGCAACCCUGAUCCAGCCAUGCCGCGUGUGUGAAGAAGGCUUUCGGGUUGUAAAGCACUUUCAGUGAGGAGGAAAACCUUAUGGCUAAUACCCAUGAGGCUUGACGUUACUCACAGAAGAAGCACCGGCUAACUCCGUGCCAGCAGCCGCGGUAAUACGGAGGGUGCAAGCGUUAAUCGGAAUUACUGGGCGUAAAGCGCGCGUAGGUGGUUUGAUAAGCGAGAUGUGAAAGCCCCGGGCUUAACCUGGGAACGGCAUUUCGAACUGUCAGGCUAGAGUGUGGUAGAGGGUAGUGGAAUUUCCUGUGUAGCGGUGAAAUG